UUUCCGUAGGUGAACCUGCGGAAGGAUCAUUACUGAGUUUUGGAUGAAGUUGUUCUGGUCUUUCGGGGCAAGUGAACGCUUCUCUCAAUCCAUCUUACACCUGUGCACCUAUCGGGGAAGACUUGGAUCUAAGUUGGGUCACGACGGCGAUCUACAGUCUCCUCUUUAUACCAAGUAACAGUUUUAGAAAGUCUUUUUUGCUUGAUGCAAACUUAAAUAAAUACAACUUUCAGCAACGGAUCUCUUGGCUCUC
rnacentral:misc_RNA from 1 species